AUACGGAGGGAGCAAGCGUUGUUCGGAAUCACUGGGCGUAAAGCGAGUGUAGGUUGUCAGGUAAGUAGGAUGUGAAAGCCCGGGGCUCAACCCCGGAAUUGCAUUCUAAACUGCCUGGCUAGAGUCCCGGAGAGGGAGGUGGAAUUCCGAGUGUAGAGGUGAAAUUCGUAGAUAUGCGGAGGAACACCAGAGGCGAAGGCGACCUCCUGGACGGUGACUGACACUGAGACUCGAAAGCGUGGGGAGCAAACAGGAUUAGAAACCCUUGUAGUCC
rnacentral:rRNA from 1 species